rnacentral:rRNA from 1 species
GCUAGCUACAGGCUUAACACAUGCAAGUCGAGGGGCAGCAUUUCAGUUUGCUUGCAAACUGGAGAUGGCGACCGGCGCACGGGUGAGUAACACGUAUCCAACCUGCCGAUAACUCGGGGAUAGCCUUUCGAAAGAAAGAUUAAUACCCGAUGGUAUAAUCAGACCGCAUGGUCUUGUUAUUAAAGAAUUUCGGUUAUCGAUGGGGAUGCGUUCCAUUAGGCAGUUGGUGAGGUAACGGCUCACCAAACCUUCGAUGGAUAGGGGUUCUGAGAGGAAGGUCCCCCACAUUGGAACUGAGACACGGUCCAAACUCCUACGGGAGGCAGCAGUGAGGAAUAUUGGUCAAUGGGCGCAGGCCUGAACCAGCCAAGUAGCGUGAAGGAUGACUGCCCUAUGGGUUGUAAACUUCUUUUAUAUGGGAAUAAAGUUUUCCACGUGUGGAAUUUUGUAUGUACCAUAUGAAUAAGGAUCGGCUAACUCCGUGCCAGCAGCCGCGGUAAUACGGAGGAUCCGAGCGUUAUCCGGAUUUAUUGGGUUUAAAGGGAGCGUAGGUGGACAGUUAAGUCAGUUGUGAAAGUUUGCGGCUCAACCGUAAAAUUGCAGUUGAUACUGGCUGUCUUGAGUACAGUAGAGGUGGGCGGAAUUCGUGGUGUAGCGGUGAAAUGCUUAGAUAUCACGAAGAACUCCGAUUGCGAAGGCAGCUCACUGGACUGCAACUGACACUGAUGCUCGAAAGUGUGGGUAUCAAACAGGAUUAGAUACCCUGGUAGUCCACACAGUAAACGAUGAAUACUCGCUGUUUGCGAUAUACAGUAAGCGGCCAAGCGAAAGCAUUAAGUAUUCCACCUGGGGAGUACGCCGGCAACGGUGAAACUCAAAGGAAUUGACGGGGGCCCGCACAAGCGGAGGAACAUGUGGUUUAAUUCGAUGAUACGCGAGGAACCUUACCCGGGCUUAAAUUGCAUUUGAAUAUAUUGGAAACAGUAUAGCCGUAAGGCAAAUGUGAAGGUGCUGCAUGGUUGUCGUCAGCUCGUGCCGUGAGGUGUCGGCUUAAGUGCCAUAACGAGCGCAACCCUUAUCUUUAGUUACUAACAGGUCAUGCUGAGGACUCUAGAGAGACUGCCGUCGUAAGAUGUGAGGAAGGUGGGGAUGACGUCAAAUCAGCACGGCCCUUACGUCCGGGGCUACACACGUGUUACAAUGGGGGGUACAGAAGGCAGCUACCUGGUGACAGGAUGCUAAUCCCAAAAGCCUCUCUCAGUUCGGAUCGAAGUCUGCAACCCGACUUCGUGAAGCUGGAUUCGCUAGUAAUCGCGCAUCAGCCAUGGCGCGGUGAAUACGUUCCCGGGCCUUGUACACACCGCCCGUCAAGCCAUGAAAGCCGGGGGUACCUGAAGUACGUAACCGCAAGGAGCGUCCUAGGGUAAAACUGGUAAUUGGGGCUAAG